CUCCAACCCUGUUCCUGGAGAGAGACCCUCCUGUAGGUUUUAACUCCAACCCUGUUCCUGGAGAGAGACCCUCCUGUAGGUUUUAACUCCAACCCUGUUCCUGGAGAGAGACCCUCCUGUAGGUUUUAACCCCAACCCUGUUCCUGGAGAGAGACCCUCCUGUAGGUUUUAACUCCAACCCUGUUCCUGGAGAGACCCUCCUGUAGGUUUUAACUCCAACCCUGUUCCUGGAGAGAGACCCUCCUGUAGGUUUUAACUCCAACCCUGUUCCUGGAGAGAUACCCUCCUGUAGGUUUUAACUCCAACCCUGUUCCUGGAGAGAGACCCUCCUGUAGGUUUUAACUCCAACCCUGUUCCUGGAGAGAUACCCUCCUGUAGGUUUUAACUCCAACCCUGUUCCUGGAAAGAGACCCUCCUGUAGGUUUUAUCUCCAACCCUGUUCCUGGAGAGAGACCCUCCUGUAGGUUUUAACUCCAACCCUGUUCCUGGAGAGAGACCCUCCUGUAGGAUUUAACUCCAACCCUGUACCUGGAGAGAGACCCUCCUGUAGGUUUUAACUCCAAACCUGUUCCUGGAGAGAGACCCUCCUGUAGGUUUUAACUCCAAACCUGUUCCUGGAGAGAGACCCUCCUGUAGGUUUUAACUCCAACCCUGUUCCUGGAGAGAGACCCUCCUGUAGGUUUUAACUCCAACCCUGUUCCUGGAGAGAGACCCUCCUGUAGGUUUUAACUCCAACCCUGUUCCUGGAGAGAUACCCUCCUGUAGGUUUUAACUCCAACCCUGUUCCUGGAGAGAAACCCUCCUGUAGGUUUUAACUCCAACCCUGUUCCUGGAGAGAAACCCUCCUGUAGGUUUUAACUCCAACCCUGUUCCUGGAGAGAAACCCUCCUGUAGGUUUUAACUCCAACCCUGUUCCUGGAGAGAGACCCUCCUGUAGGUUUUAACUCCAACCUUGUUCCUGGAGAGAGACCCUCCUGUAGGUUUUAACUCCAACCCUGUUCCUGGAGAGAGACCCUCCUGUAGGUUUUAACUCCAACCCUGUUCCUGGAGAG